rnacentral:rRNA from 1 species
UCGGGAAUAUUGGGCAAUGGGCGCAAGCCUGACCCAGCGACGCCGCGUGAGGGAUGAAGGCCUUCGGGUCGUAAACCUCUGUCGGGAGGGAAGAAUGGCGGUGAAGCGAAUAGUUUCGCUGUCUGACGGUACCUCCAAAGGAAGCGCCGGCUAACUCCGUGCCAGCAGCCGCGGUAAUACGGAGGGCGCAAGCGUUGUUCGGAAUCACUGGGCGUAAAGCGCGUGUAGGCGGCCGGGCAAGUCGGAUGUGAAAUCCCGAGGCUCAACCUCGGAACUGCAUUCGAAACUGCUCGGCUCGAGUCCCGGAGAGGAUGGCAGAAUUCCCGGUGUAGGGGUGAAAUCCGUAGAUAUCGGGAGGAAUACCAGUGGCGAAGGCGGCCAUCUGGACGGUGACUGACGCUGAGACGCGAAAGCGUGGGGAGCAAACAGGAUUAGAUACCCCGGUAGUCC